rnacentral:misc_RNA from 1 species
GAUGAAGAACGUAGCGAAAUGCGAUAAGUAAUGUGAAUUGCAGAAUUCAGUGAAUCAUCGAAUCUUUGAACGCACAUUGCGCCCGCUGGAAUUCCAGCGGGCAUGCCUGUUCGAGCGUCAUUUCACCCCUCAAGCCUUGCUUGGUGUUGGAGCACUACCGUUUGUAUAAAGCGGUAGGCUCUGAAAUUCAGUGGCGGGCUCGCUAAGACUCUGAGCGUAGUAGUUUAUCACCUCGCUUUGGAAGGAUUAGCGGUGCUCUUGCCGUAAAACCCCCCAACUUCUGAAUUUUGACCUCGGAUCAGGUAGGAAUACCCGCUGAACUUAAGCAUAUCAAUAAGCGGAGGA